rnacentral:tRNA from 1 species
GGGCCCGUAGCUCAGCCAGGUGGAGCACCGGGCUUUUAACCCGGGGGUCGCGGGUUCAAAUCCCGCCGGGCCCG